CAAGAGCAACAGCAAUCUUCAUCAUCUUUUCCUUGAUCUGGGCUGUGUUCAUUUAUGUUACUCCGUUCCAAGUGGUGGCUGUUCUGUUCGGUCUCUACUGGCUGCGUCAUCCUCGCUUCAGGAGCAAGCUGCCAUCGGUGCCUGUCAACUUUUUCAAGAGAUUACCAUCAAAGUCAGACAUGCUAAUUUGAGAAACUAAGGUUACUUCCAUCAUUAUCAUUCGUUUAAUCAGUAUGUGAAUAAAGAUGAUUCGGUGAAUAACUUUCAGCAGAUCUUACCUGGAGAUGGGGGAGAGAAGAGCAAUCCACUACCCCAUUACAAAGAAUCUCACUUUUCCUGGUCCGAAUAUGCACUUUCACAGCUUU
rnacentral:lncRNA from 1 species